GUAUUGCAGGGAGACAUUUAGGGCAGCACAUUGAGGGACGGCAUUGUGGGACAGUGGAUUUUGCCGGUUGGCGUGUUCGAGGGCGUCUUCUUUCAGGAGCAUCGGGUCGUUUAGUCUUGGAUGGUCUAGUCAGGUACAGGUGCAGGUGAGUCCAGAGGAUGUCGUCAGGAUGGGUAAAAAAUAUCACAGGAAUAAGAAGAAGACAUGUAAACAAAGAAGAUUUCUGGACAGGAUUUAGGAGCAUAUCACAUAGAUUGAAACAGAUCCUAGGUGUUGAUGGCGAUGGGUGGCCUUUUCGCAUGUAUCCCUACAUGGUCUGCGCGUUCGAGAAGAAGUUCGUCGAGUGGUGGGUACGAAGUGCAGAGAGUUAUAUUUUCGGGUGAAAGCAGGCCGCGUCAUCUUUAUCUUCGCAUGGCAAGCAGUGGAUCAUGUACGCAGUCAGCACCUUAAGUAGUUGAGGCGGGAGGAUUC
rnacentral:misc_RNA from 1 species